rnacentral:rRNA from 1 species
UACGUAGGCAGCAAGCGUUGUUCGGAAUUACUGGGCGUAAAGAGUGUGUAGGCGGUGCCGUAAGUUUGGCGUGAAAUCUCCCGGCUUAACUGGGAGGGUGCGCCGAAGACUGCGGUGCUUGAGGAUCGGAGAGGAAAGUGGAAUUUCUGGUGUAGCGGUGAAAUGCGUAGAUAUCAGAAGGAACACCUGUGGUGUAGACGGCUUUCUGGACGAUUCCUGACGCUGAGACACGAAAGCGUGGGUAGCAAAC